ensembl:rRNA 5S_rRNA 5S ribosomal RNA
GUUUACGGCCAUACCAGCCUGGGUACGCCUGAUCUCGUCUGAUCUCGGAAGCUAAGCAGGGUCGGGCCUGGUUAGUACUUUGAUGGGAGACCGCCUGGGAAUACCAGGUGCUGUAAGCU